CCUGAGCAGGACACGACCCAGCGGAGGGCAGAGGUGGGAGAGGACCUCGGGAGGGCGAGCGAGGUGCUGGCUGACAGUAGGGUUUUAAGACACCCCAGAAGCAGCGUUGAGGGAAGCCUUUCUUUCCUGUGGGUGGCCAGAAGCUUCUGGUCCUCAAGACACAGCUCAAUCCUCACCUGGACUUAUGACCCGCGGCCUUGCUCCCCUCCUGCCCAUUGAGUUCCACAAGAUGGGCUCCUUCCGCCGGCCUAGACCACGAUUUAUGAGCUCCCCUGUGCUCAGCGAGCUGCCCCGCUUUCAGGCUGCCCGGCAGGCUCUGCAACUAAGUUCCAACUCAGCCUGGAACAGUGUGCAGACGGCUGUGAUCAACGUUUUCAAAGGGGGCGGCUUGCAGAGCAAUGAGCUGUAUG
rnacentral:lncRNA from 1 species